rnacentral:lncRNA from 1 species
UUUUCACGGAAUUUAACCUUUCAAAAAAUUUAGGUAACCAACCCACGUUAAUAUCUCUCUCUCUCUCUCUCUCUCUCUCUCUCUCUCAUCUCUACCCACUUACAAAUCACUACCCUCUCUCUCAUCAAUUCAACCUAGCCAGGAGGAAGAACUCGACGACCCUCUGCUUCCAGAUCUGCCUCCGGGGAAAUCACUACAAAAGGUUGGCAAAAUAUUAACCCUUAAACCCCAGUUCUAAGUGAUUUUCUCGUGUAGCACUAGAAAUAUAAAUUUAAGUAUAUAUGUUUGUAAGUUUUGUGAAAAAAAAAGUUGUAGACAGUGAUCGCUUCUUGUAAUUGUUUAAAUUUCUGAAUACAUGCUAAGAUUAGUUUUUUCGUUCACGAGGUAGUUGAUAAAUAAUUUUUCAUCAUAUUAGUGGUUCUCGUAAUUCGCCUUUUAUUUCAAUUAGCUUUUCGGGUCGAUUUUUUUCUCCUGCACAAUGUUCUUAAUUUCUUUAAAUUUAGUAAGAAAUGGUAGGUCAGAAGAUAUCUGCUCCGCUGUUUGAACGACCCUAACAAACCUGUCGACCAGAAAUUCUAAGUAGGCAGUAUUCAAAAUUUUCAUAUCUUGUUUCUCCAUAUUCGCUCACAAAAAGAAAACCAGAGGGGAGAGAGUAAAUAAAGGGGUGGGGAGAGGAGUAUAUAACCUUAGUGUAGGGUGAGAAUUAUGAGGCGUUUAUCUGAUUGUAUAUGGUUAGUUGAGAAAUGACGUUAGUUAGUAACAGUUGGCAGGCCUGAACAGAUUGACGCACCUGGAAUACGGUAGGAAGUGUUGGUGACCACCGUUUAAUGAGUUAGUUUUUUUUUUCUUUUCUCACAUGGUUUUCCUGUUGCAAAGUGAAAACACUGCGCAAAACAAAAGGACUGAUUAGUGUUGACUGACUCUUUUUAAAUUGACUUCUAGCAUAAUGUUACAUACUGACCGUUGCAACUUGACUCCAAUUUUCCCAAGUCUGCUUUGCUUUAAUAUGAAAUCAAUGGAAAGUGAAUGUUUUCUUGGAUCAUAUAUACACUCUUCCCUACAGAAGAGAAGAACCAAAAUGGAAUUUAACUCUGUUGGCAAAAAAGGCUUACUGUCUUACUAUAGCAAUGGCUUCAUAGAUGAGCAGUGGUGGCUAGACUUGAACCUAGGAUCUUUUACUUGCUCUCAUACCAUGUUCCUUGCGUAUUGACAACUUGAGAACAACUUUUUUGAAUGGAGCAGAUGCCAUAAGACAAAAAUUAGUCAAGGUCCAUUAGUUGAUAUAAAUUGAACUCUGGUUUCUGUUUAUUUCCAGGAUAUAAGGUUCUAUUGCUUUGAUUUUAAGAUUUUAGUUUCAACUUGUGUAGUUCUGAGUCCUUUCGACAAGGUAAUGUAAUUAGAAUCAAGAUUUUAAUAUAAAUAUUGCACAUAUUAUUCCUUCGGGGUUUAUAUUGAACCUGUAAUUUUGUAUUGCGUGAUUUCAUCCACGGUGAGUUCAAGGUCAAGCUGAUUUUGACCAGUAGACUACAAUAACAAUCUCAUGUGAUGAGAUGGUUUGAAAGGAUCUUACACAUAACUGGGUAGUCGAUUUGUCUAUAGGAUCCCCUACGUCCACGCUUAAAAAUUCCUUAUCUUGGUGCCUGUAAUCGCCAAGAUGUAGUGGUAUCUUCUCAGAAUAUGAAUUGACAUUGUAAACAUGGCUGCUGCUUGGAUAUUUUUUCACUUGACACGACUUUCUUGGGAAUAAACAUAUCGAACCUUAAUGCUCUUUUAAUGGAGAGGAAUGAAGAGAAAGAAAAGAGAAAUUUGAGAAGAGGAAAAACCUCAAUUCUUUCUUUUCUUUAUUUUUUUAAAAUCUAAACCGUAAAUUCUCAUUGAUUUAGUUCACUGCAAACAGCGAAUGACAGGAAAGAUGUUAAACAAUGAAGUCAAAAAGCAGACUCCUCAGUCAUAAAAGCAUGAGCAGCGAGCUUGUGGCUGCUAUGUUCCUCAGAGGGACAUAGUGACAAGGACCACUAUGCAAAUCCGAAAACAACUCAGCAAUAUCAGACAAAGAAAAACCUCAGUUCUAAUUAGUACUCAAAUUGUAUAGAAUCUGAAAAUCUUGUUCCCGUUUUACACUUGUAUAAAACUUGAGUCAAAGGGAACCAAUAUUCCGUCUAACAGCAUAAAAAUAUCGUCAAAACCAUUUUAAUCUAAUCUGAAAAUUAUAUAAAAUCCAAAUCAUUCUAUUUUUCUUAAUUUACGUUUUUAAUAUUCUGUCAUGAAUCCUUAGAAUUCGCUUUGAUUUCUCUGUUUGUUUUAUACCAUGUUCUUUCUUUAUCUGAAAUGGUGUGGGUGAAUUUGUUUUACAAUUUGGAACUAUAUAGUUGUUCUAUUCCAAGAAAUCAGAAGGAAGAAAAAUUCUGGUCAAGUAUGUAGGAUUUUUGAAGUGCUAGCUAUUGUAAUGAUGUUAUGUUAUUCUUUAUAAACAAAUUUUUAUUAGAUUUUUGUUUACCAUGGUAGUUUAUAACAUGGCUUCAACAACAAAUCAACGUCGAAGCCGACGACAACAUUUAUGUUUAUUUUGGACAAUGGUCAUACAAUCGAUUGUGAUAUAUAACGAACUUAGGCGUCGUGCACGACAUCUUCCAAGAGCUCCUCAUACAAAUUGGAAUUCUGAAAGAGAAAUAACACUUACACGAAUGUUUGGCACGAGUGAUACAAUAUGUCGUGAUCUCCUUAGGAUGAAAAUAGGUCCAUUUCAAAGAUUAUGUGCUCGUUUGCGAACUUAUGGAUUGGUUGACAGUAAAUACGUUCGAAUUGAGGAACAAGUCGCAAUUUUUCUGAAUACAGUUGGGCAUGAUCAACGUAAUCGCGCUGGACAUUUUACUUUCUUUCGCUCUGGUCAAACAGUGAGCUUUUACUUUCACAAAGUCUUACACGCUUGUCUGGGACUGUAUAGAG